rnacentral:tRNA from 1 species
GCCGAAGUGGUGGAACUGGCAGACACCCACGACUCAAAAUCGUGUGAGCGGAAGCUCGUGUGGGUUCGACGCCCACCUUCGGCAC